UACGUAGGGUGCGAGCGUUAAUCGGAAUUAUUGGGCGUAAAGAGCUCGUAGGCGGUCUGUCGCGUCCGUUGUGAAAACUCGAGGCUCAACCUCGGGCUUGCAGUGGAUACGGGCAGACUAGAGUGCGGUAGGGGAGACUGGAAUUCCUGGUGUAGCGGUGGAAUGCGCAGAUAUCAGGAGGAACACCGAUGGCGAAGGCAGGUCUCUGGGCCGCAACUGACGCUGAGGAGCGAAAGCAUGGGGAGCGAACAGG
rnacentral:rRNA from 1 species